AAAUGCAAUGGGAAAUUGGAAAAAAAUAUGUAUCUAAUGGCAGGUAAUUGAGUGUAAUUGGCUCUUUUACCCAAGAUGGAUAAAAUGGUUCAGAGAGGAGGAACUCAGUGAUGUACAGGAUGUAAUGUUCAACAGAGACUGUGGUGGAUACAAUUCAGUCGGACUCUUCUCAGAAGACUUGUACAAUGGAUCUGCAUUUAGUUACGCUGUUCUGUGCCUCAGCAGUUGCUGUCUUGGGAAAUGUCAUCAAACCAGACAAAACAGACAUUUUUGAGGUGGAGGGUUUAGAUAUUACAUUGUCCUGUAUUUAUUCCUCUUCAACUACAGAUAAUCUCUACUGGUACCGUCAGUAUGGGAGAUCAAAACCUGAAUUUCUUGUACUCACCUACAGCAGUGCAAAAGAAGCUCAGCGCUCUGAUGUAGAUCCAAGAUUCUCUGUUAAUGUGACAAAAAAGGAACAAAUCCGUGUUGAUCUGAUCAUCUCUUCUGCUGCUGUAUCAGACUCUGCUCUGUAUUACUGUGCUCUGGAGCCCACAGUGACAGGAAACACAUCAGCUCUAUACAAAAACCUGCUACAAUGAGAGACAGAAGAGAAACGACAGAGAUGAAGACUGAGCGAAAGAAGGUGUAAGUGGCAAUUAUGGUAUUGUGCACUAAUAAAAAUAAACAAACAAACAAACAAAAAUAACAACAGGCUGUACCAAAUAUGGUAGAAAUUUCUUUUUAUUAUGUAUUUUUAUGUAUGCAUUUGUGUGGCUAAAGCUGAACAAUAAGGGAAUCAAUAGGCCUAGAUUAAAAACAACAAUAACAACAAUGUAAAAUUUGGGAUUGUAAAUUAUAGAUAAAAUGUUAAACAUAUAAAUCAACAUUACAAAUGAAAACUGAAAGCAGAAUCGUGACAUUGUUAAUUCCAAUAGAUUCAUACAAAAGUACAGUAGAGUAUGGUUUAUGGUUCAAUCAAAAUGCACCACAAGGUGGCAGUCUUCUCAAACGUUCUUUAGGAACUGAAGCCAUGAGUGUCAUUUUUUUCCUUAACAACAUUUUUAUAUUUUAACGUUUUUAUAAAGAUGUGAUUUAUUACACUUUGAUUUAUUAAAAGCUUUCUGAAUAAUAUAAUUACUUCAAAUUUUCCUAAACAAUUAAUGUUACAACGCCUUCACUGGUUUCUCAAUCUCAGAGAUCAGAAAGUUCCUGAAUGUCUUGAUUAGAGCAGAAAGAAUCAGUAACACACAGUCAGAGCACACAGAGUAUUAACACAUGUAUGAUCUGAUCAUACUCACCAUGGACAAAUACAUGCUGCUGCUUUUCAUUAUAGCAUCAGGUGUGUCACUUACUUUAGAUUUUUUAGUAACAGCUUUAAAUACCCUAUAAAACACUGAAUGGUAUAUUACCGAUUUCUUUAUUUUUUUCCGAACACAUGCAGAGUAACUAUUGUUAGAAUGUUUAUCAUAAGAAACUGUUAAUAUUGUGCUUUCUCUGCAGAUGUAAUGGCUGUGAACAAGAUUGAGCCAAAUAGAAGGACAAAUGUCAUUAAAACAGAAGGAGAGACUGUAAUGCUGAGCUGCUCUUAUGAUUCAGACAGUGAAUGUAUAUGUCUAUAUUGGUACAGAUAAUAUCACAAUGAAGAUACUCAAUAUUUAUUACAUCAAGGUGCUCGACCAAGCCUUAAAAAGCACACCUCCAAUCUUUGAUUUACGUCAAGUACUUCUUGCAUACUUAUUAUUAGUAGUGUGACUGUGUCAGAUUCAGCUCUUUAUUACUGCUCUUUAAGAGCUGAAGCCCAGUGAUGCAAAACACGAAACUAGUUGUACUACAAGACAUUUUCACUUUGAACCUAUUAUGAAAAUCAAAUCAAACCUCAAUGUUAGAUAAUAAAUUCAAACACCUGUGUGAGGUUGAGAGAAGAAAUAUUUCACAAAAGGAACAAAAGGGGAUAAUAAGAAUUGCAACUGCAAUGAGUGUACAUUCACUCGCUUUAUUCGCUAACACGUUUAACAUCAUGUGGCCUUAUUACAGCUGUGUGACACCAGCAAGAAACCAAAAGAGGGCAAUAUCUCUCAGUAUCACACUAAUAGAGUGGAGUCCUUUAAGCUCCUCCUCAAACUCCUAUGUUACGAUAGCAUACCUGUCUUAUUUAUUUUGACU